UACGUAGGGGGCUAGCGUUAUCCGGAAUUACUGGGCGUAAAGGGUGCGUAGGUGGUUUCUUAAGUCAGAGGUGAAAGGCUACGGCUCAACCGUAGUAAGCCUUUGAAACUGGGAAACUUGAGCGCAGGAGAGGAGAGUGGAAUUCCUGGUGUAGCGGUGAAAUGCGUAGAUAUUAGGAGGAACACCAGUUGCGAAGGCGGCUCUCUGGACUGUAACUGACGCUGAGGCACGAAAGCGUGGGGAGCAAACAGGAUUAGAUACCCGCGUAGUCCCUGA
rnacentral:rRNA from 1 species